UUUUACAGUCAUUAAGUAAUUUCUUCCAUAAAAAAUUAUUAAGACGAAGAAGCGGAACAUUACGUAUUAGGCUUGACGUAGAAUUUGUGCGUUCGUACCUAAUGUGUAAACUAAUAUUAUUUUUUACUGGUAACACUAUUUAUCACCUAUUUGCAUUAAUAUAAUUAAUAAACUUUAUUAAACAACAAACCACAAUUUACUGAGUAAUGUUUUAAUUACUUCCCUAUAAUACUCUCCACAACCCCAAAUCUUUGGAGGGUGGGGAGUAGUCUUUAAAAAUUGCAUUUGGGGAUUGCUUAAAAGCACUGCUCUUCGAAACCGAUUUUGCGUUCUAAUUACUGGUAUUUAUCUAAAACACCAUCCCUCAACCCCAAUCAACUUGGGGUUGUGGGAAGUGUUAAAGGGAAGUAAUUACAAGUUUUCCUCAGUGGAUUGUGGUGUGUGAUGUGUUGUCCAUAUAUUUUUAAAUAAAGUUUACAAUUAUAUAAUUUUCGCUAAAAUAUUUUUUCCCUGCUCACUAGACUUCCCUUUGACACCUCCGAAAACGUUAAAUUGGUAACGGGUGGGGGAUGUUUUUUUUUUAAAUAAUUGUCUUUUCGCGAAAAGUUCCUAAUACACAUUUUCAAAAUUAAUUAAUCUUAGAAAUCGAGUUACAAAAUUUUGUUUUGCAAAUCCGUAGAAAAAGCAAUCUUUCAAGCUUUCAUCCUUUUAGGGAUCUAAUUUUGAAAAUUUCUUAUUGCACUUUUAUGUUGUAUAAGGAACAUGUUUGUAAAAAUUUAUGUUUCAUCACAAUCAGCUAUAAAAUCAGCUAAACGACUAUUAAUUGUAUGUGAAAGAUAUGCCUAUUAUAAGUGAUCUUAUUUUAAAUUGGAUAUUUAGUUGUUCAUUUUUAUUUGCUUAUUGUAAUUUCAAAAGAGCGAAUUAUGUCUCGCCCUUAAAUAAUUUAUAUUCUGUAACAUAAUUGAAGCUAGAAAAAAAAAGCCAUAAUCUUGUUUAUCUCUAAUGUUCUUUUCUCUCAGUUUUCACCGUCUCUCUCGCUCUUGUAUUUAGUUAUAUUUCUGGAGUUGUGAUCAGGCGAUGAAGCAAUAACGUACAUGUUUUCAAUUGGUUAAAUUACGAAAUAUUUGCCGGGAACCGUCGCAGAAAUGUAAUAUGAUGCUUCUGCGUACCGUUUCUGCGUCAUUACCGCUUCAGGCAUUAGCAUUCGCAAAUCCUUGCAAGCCUGAUAGCAGUGUUCAGUGCAUGAGUGUAUCUCGUUUUUGCUGUCCGUUGGUCUAUGCUGUCUAUAAAGGGAGACGACGCCUGAAGGCUUGCUGUGAUAACAACCUAGGAUUGGAUGGACAAACUAUUUUAUUUCCAAAAAUGCCUCUAAGGAGCUGAUUGAAAAAUUCAUUGGACAUAAAAUGUUAACAGUGGUUUCCAUUAAAACAUAAAGAUGAACAUGAGGAGGUAAAUCAAAAGGAGUCGAAACGUGGAGAAACAGAGCCCCCCACUCAUACAUUCUUCUCUUGGACUUGGAAAGGACAGUUGUAUUUAUGAAAUGGUUUGUGAAUUUUUAAAUCUU
rnacentral:lncRNA from 1 species